UACGUAGGGGGCAAGCGUUGUCCGGAAUCAUUGGGCGUAAAGCGCGUGUAGGUGGCUCGGUAAGUCUGCUGUGAAAGUCCAGGGCUCAACCCUGGGAUGCCGGUGGAUACUGUCGAGCUCGAGUCCGGAAGAGGCGAGUGGAAUUCCUGGUGUAGCGGUGAAAUGCGCAGAUAUCAGGAGGAACACCAAUGGCGAAGGCAGCUCGCUGGGGCGUGACUGACGCUGAGACGCGAAAGCGUGGGGAGCAAACAGG
rnacentral:rRNA from 1 species